CCUACGGGAGGCUGCAGUGAGGAAUAUUGGUCAAUGGCCGGAAGGCUGAACCAGCCAUGCCGCGUGAAGGUCAGUGCCCUAUGGGCGUUAAACUUCUUUUGUGCGGGAGCAAUAAUGGUCACGUGUGGCCAGACGAGAGUACCGUAAGAAUAAGCAUCGGCUAACUCCGUGCCAGCAGCCGCGGUAAUACGGGGGAUGCAAGCGUUAUCCGGAUUUAUUGGGGUUAAAGGGUGCGUAGGCUGGGAGGUAAGUCAGCGGUGAAAUGCCCCCGCUCAACGGGGUGAAGUGCCAUUGAUACUGCCUUUCUUGAAUGCGGAUGCCGUGGGAGGAAUGUGUGGUGUAGCGGUGAAAUGCAUAGAUAUCACACAGAACACCGAUUGCGAAGGCAUCUCACGAAUCCGCGAUUGACGCUGAUGCACGAAAGCGUGGGUAUCAAACAGGAUUAGAUACCCCAGUAGUC
rnacentral:rRNA from 1 species